CUCAAUGACUGGAGUUCUCCAGAAUAAAGAACGUCGCCCGAAUCAGGGCA
rnacentral:ncRNA from 1 species